CACAAAAUUGACAAGUCCUUGAACCCUAUCAGUAUUGUCUCUGCUGUCCACUUUGUUCAGAGUAGUGCAAUAUUGCUUAUAGGGCUUCAGUUUUUGGGUUAA
rnacentral:pre_miRNA from 1 species